GAUGAACGCUAGCGGCAGGCCUAAUACAUGCAAGACGAACGGUAAGUUGAGUAGCAAUACUUAGCCAAGAGUGUCGUACGGGUGCGUAACACGUAUGCAACCUACCCUAUACAGGAGGAUAGCCUAGGGAAACCUGGAUUAACCCUUCAUAGUAUUAUUGGAUGGCAUCAUUUGAUAAUUAAAACUGAGGUGGUAUAGGAUGGGCAUGCGUCUGAUUAGUUAGUUGGCGGGGUAAUGGCCCACCAAGACGAUGAUCAGUAGGGGUUCUGAGAGGAAGAUCCCCCACACUGGCACUGAGAUACGGGCCAGACUCCUACGGGAGGCAGCAGUAGGGAAUAUUGGUCAAUGGAUGCAAGUCUGAACCAGCCAUGCCGCGUGCAGGAAGAAGGCCUUUC
rnacentral:rRNA from 1 species